rnacentral:rRNA from 1 species
CCUACGGGAGGCAGCAGUGGGGAAUAUUGCGCAAUGGGCGAAAGCCUGACGCAGCGACGCCGCGUGAGGGAUGAAGGUCUUCGGAUCGUAAACCUCUGUCAGCAGGGAAGAACGGUCACUGUGCUAAUCAGCAGUGCAUUGACGGUACCUGCACAGGAAGCACCGGCUAACUCCGUGCCAGCAGCCGCGGUAAUACGGAGGGGGCGAGCGUUAGUCGGAAUUACUGGGCGUAAAGGGCUCGUAGGCGGUAUGUCAAGUCAAGGGUGAAAUCCCCGCGCUGAACGUGGGAACUGCCUUUGAAACUGGCAAACUGGAGUGUAGGAGAGGAUAGAGGAAUUCCAGGUGUAGGAGUGAAAUCCGUAGAUAUCUGGAGGAACAUCAGUGGCGAAGGCGACUAUCUGGCACAUAACUGACGCUGAGGAGCGAAAGCGUGGGUAGCAAACAGGAUUAGAUACCCGAGUAGUC